GACGAACCGUGCGAACGUUGUUCGGAAUCACUGGGCUUAAAGGGCGCGUAGGCGGAUCGGCGAGUCUGUGGUGAAAUCCUUCAGCUUAACUGGAGAAGUGCCGUGGAUACUGUCUGUCUCGAGGAGGGUAGGGGCAUCUGGAACUGCCGGUGGAGCGGUGAAAUGCGUUGAUAUCGGCAGGAACUCCGGUGGCGAAGGCGAGAUGCUGGACCCGUUCUGACGCUGAGGCGCGAAAGCCAGGGGAGCAAACGGG
rnacentral:rRNA from 1 species